AUGGACGGACGGACGGACAUCACUGGGAUGGAUGGGCAGACGGACAGCAUUGGGAUGGACGGACAGCACUGUGACGGACAGACAGACGGACACCAUUGGGAUGGAUGGAUGGACGGCACUGCAAUGGAUGGACGGACAGACAUCAUUGGGAUGAAUGGACGUCAUUGGGAUGGACGGACGGACGGACACCAUUGGGAUGGACGGACAGCAAGCACUGCAAUGGACGGACAGACGGACACCAUUGGGAUGGAUGGAUGUCAUUGG
rnacentral:lncRNA from 1 species